UUUUCACAGAAUCCAAGGCAAGAAGGGCUCUAAGCACCCAGAGCAGCCUGAGUGCAUUUAGGGGUGCAGUGCUGGUGCCAGAGCACCGGGGCAGGCAGGGAUGGCUAUUUCAGCCCUGGGUAACGCUCCUGCCUCAGCAGCUCCCCCUGCCCGAGCCGGGGAGCGGCUCUGGAGCUCCCCGCGGCCGCCGGGGGCUCCGGGCCGUGGGCGGACAGAUGAAUGGCUGGCUGAAGGCAGCGAAACACGCAGCUCUGCCUGGAGGAAUGAACAGCAGCCUGACAGCACUCUGCGGUAUAGCCAGUGUCAUACUCAGUGUAAAUGAGGGAAAAAACUGACACCCAGAUCCUCUGAAAUCUUGUCCACAAAGCAGUGGAUUAUUCCCAUAGAUCCACAGUUACAGUAUGGAAAUGCUGGACUCCUUUCCAUUUGCAAAUUCUUCAGAAAUACAUGGAACUUAGAAAGAAGAAAAAAUUCCAGAUUGCGUUUAGGCACGUGAACAAAGCUGCUGCAUUAAAACGUAGUGUGUCAGCCUGGCUG